rnacentral:rRNA from 1 species
GAUGAACGCUGGCGGCGUGCCUAAUACAUGCAAGUCGAGCGAACGGACGAGAAGCUUGCUUCGCUGUCGUUAGCGGAGGACGGGAGAGUAACACGUGGAUCACCUACCUAUAAGACUGGGAUAACUUCGGGACACCGGCGCUUAUACCGGAUAAUCUUUUGAACCGCAUGGUUCAAAAGUGAAAGACGGUCUUGCUGUCACUACUAGAUGGAUCCGCGCUGCAUUAGCUAGUUGGUAGGGUAACGGCUUACCAAGGCAACGAUGCAUAGCCGACCUGAGAGGGUGAUCGGCCACACUGGAGCGGGGACACGGUCCAGAGGCCUACGGGAGGCAGCAGUAGGGAAUCUUCGGCAGUGGGCGAAAGCCUGACGGAGCAACGCCGCGUGAGUGAUGAAGGUCUUCGGAUCGUAAAACUCUGUUAUGAGGGAAGAACAUAUGUGUAAGGAACUGUGCAGAUCUUGACGGUACCUAAUCAGAAAGCCACGGCUAACUACGUG